GACGAACCGUGCUAACGUUGUUCGGAAUCACUGGGCUUAAAGCGCGCGUAGGCGGCAGGGUAAGUCCGUGGUGAAAUCCUUCGGCUCAACCCGAGAAUGGCCUCGGAUACUGCUAUUCUAGAGGGUGGGAGGGGUAGCGGGAAUUGCGAGUGGAGAGGUGAAAUGCGUUGAUAUUGGCAGGAACGCCGGUGGCGAAGGCGGGCUGCUGGCCCUUUUCUGACGCUGAGGUGCGAAAGCUAGGGGAGCAAACGGG
rnacentral:rRNA from 1 species